rnacentral:rRNA from 1 species
GUGUCAGCCGCCGCGGUAAUACGUAGGGGGCAAGCGUUGUCCGGAUUUACUGGGCGUAAAGAGCGUGUAGGCGGCCGAACAGGUCUGUUGUGAAAACUGGAGGCUCAACUUCCAGACGUCGACAGAAACCGUACGGCUAGAGUCCGGAAGAGGAGAGUGGAAUUCCUGGUGUAGCGGUGAAAUGCGCAGAUAUCAGGAAGAACACCGAUGGCGAAGGCAGCUCUCUGGGACGGUACUGACGCUGAGACGCGAAAGCGUGGGGAGCGAACAGGAUUAGAAACCCCCGUAGUCC